rnacentral:rRNA from 1 species
GAUGAACGCUGGCGGCGUGCCUAAUACAUGCAAGUCGAGCGAACGGACGAGAAUCUUGCUUCUCUGAUGUUAGCGGCGGACGGGUGAGUAAUACGUGGAUACCCUACCUAUAAGACUGGGAUAACUUCGGGAAACCGGAGCUAAUACCGGAUAAUAUUUUGAACCGGAUGGUUCAAAAGUGAAAGACGGUCUUGCUGUCCCUUAUAGAUGGAUCCGCGCUGCAUUAGCUAGUUGGUAAGGUAACGGCUUACCAAGGCAACGAUGCAUAGCCGACCUGAGAGGGUGAUCGGCCACACUGGAACUGAGACACAGUCCAGACUCCUACGGGAGGCAGCAGUAGGGAAUCUUCCGCAAUGGGCGAAAGCCUGACGGAGCAACGCCGCGUGAGUGAUGAAGGUCUUCGGAUCGUAAAACUCUGUUAUUAGGGAAGAACAUAUGUGUAAGUAACUGUGCACAUCUUGACGGUACCUAAUCAGAAAGCCACGGCUAACUACGUG